GGUGGUUCAGUGGUGGAAAUCGUGCCUUCCAUGUAUGAGACCCGGGUUCGAUUCCCGGCC
rnacentral:tRNA from 1 species